CAAUCCGAGAAUUUCACCUCCAACAACUGAAUACGAAUACCCCCAACUAUCCCUAUUAAUCAUUACCGACAUCUGUAAACCAACAAAAUAGACAACGGUCCUAUCUUAUUAUUCCAUGCUAAUGUAUUCAAGGCAAAGGCCUGCUUUAAACACUCUAAUUUUUUCACAGUAAAUGAUGAGAAUCCCAUGCACGACAACCUAAUGCCACGCACAAUCUCCCCAAAGAUGCGGGCGGCAAAGAGCCAAGUUCACGCCACAUAAGGGCACGACCGGCCGCCACCCGCAGAAGGCCAACUACGAGCUUUUUAACUGCAACAACUUUAAUAUACGCUAUUGGAGCUGGAAUUACCGCAG
rnacentral:misc_RNA from 1 species